rnacentral:tRNA from 1 species
AAGGAAGUAGCUUAAUGCAAAGCGUUGGACUUCAAACCCAAAGAUACAAUGGUUUAUUUGUCUUUCUU